UCUCGUAGGUGACCUGCGGAGGGAUCAUUA
rnacentral:rRNA from 1 species